rnacentral:tRNA from 1 species
CCUGAUGGCUCAGAUGGUAAAGCGUCUGCCUACAAUGCAGGAGACCCGGGUUUGAUCCCUGGGUCAGGA